AAAGUCUUCAGCAACAAAGUUGUAGUUAUCAUUUAUCUUCAAUCCUAAAAUGCUAUUUUAUUAUAAAUGAAAAGUCAAGGUUGUUUCAUUACAUAUUUACAAAUUUUGCAAAUACACUUAGUUUCAUUGAACAAACUAUUUCAUACAGACAAGGACAAUUUAACAACCAUAGU
rnacentral:miRNA from 1 species